rnacentral:rRNA from 1 species
UACGGAGGGUGCAAACGUUGCUCGGAAUCAUUGGGCGUAAAGCGCACGUAGGCGGUCUGCUAAGUCGGGAGUGAAAGCCCUCGGCUCAACCGAGGAAGUGCUUUCGAAACUGGCAGACUUGAAUACUGGAGAGGAUCGCGGAAUUCCCGGUGUAGAGGUGAAAUUCGUAGAUAUCGGGAGGAACACCAGUGGCGAAGGCGGCGAUCUGGACAGAUAUUGACGCUGAGGUGCGAAAGCGUGGGGAGCAAACAGG